rnacentral:rRNA from 1 species
UAAGGAAUACUGGUCAAUGGACGCAAGUCUGAACCAGCCAUGCCGCGUGCAGGAUGACGGCCCUACGGGUUGUAAACUGCUUUUGUACGGGAAAAAACCCUCCGGUCGUGAAUCGGAGCUGAUGGUACCGUAAGAAUAAGCAUCGGCUAACUCCGUGCCAGCAGCCGCGGUAAUACGGAGGAUGCAAGCGUUAUCCGGAUUCAUUGGGUUUAAAGGGUGCGCAGGCGGAAUGAUAAGUCAGUGGUGAAAUCUCUCGGCUCAACUGAGAAACUGCCAUUGAUACUGUUGUUCUUGAGUACACUUGAAGUGGGCGGAAUGUGUCAUGUAGCGGUGAAAUGCUUAGAUAUGACACAGAACACCGAUCGCGAAGGCAGCUCACUAAAUUGUAACUGACGCUCAG